rnacentral:lncRNA from 1 species
UCUCUGACACUGCCUCCUCCUCAGGCACCCUUGCAGCUCCGCUCUGGGAUUCCUGGUUCCUAACUUUGGGGCACCAACAUUGGGGGAUCCCCUGGGGAGGCCUCUGGUGCUCACUCUCACCCCAGCUGGGAUCUAGCACAAACAGUCAGCCGGGGAGAAUUCCAGAGUUGAGACAUCAUCAUUUAAAUCUGAGCUAAUUGAGACCUAGAGCCCCGGGACAUCUGCUUUGGACCAGCCUGACGCCUUAUAAGUGCCCUAGGUGACCUAUCCCCCAGGCCAAGGAUCCUGGGUCUAGAGCUGGGAGAGAAGGACGCUUCACCCCCACCCCUGCCCCAGGCCAUUGAGUCUAACCUACGUAGGUUUGAGGGAGCUAGGGCCCAGAGAGGGGAGGGAGCAAGGAAGGAGGAAGGGAAGGAAGGAAGGGAGGAGGGAGUGAGGAGAAAGCAAGGGAGGGAAGGAGGGAGGGAGGAGGGAGAGAAGAAGGAAGGGAGGGAAGGAAGGGAGGAGGGAGGAAAUUGUGCUCCUCAGACCUCAGACACAGGCCUGACCUAUUGGCAGCAGUCCAGCAGCGCCAAUCUUCCAGUCCCAAGAGCCACCCUCUGCAAGGCUUUGUCUCAGGGCUCCCCAUCCAAUGCUCUGUCCCUUUAAGACACUGUUGGGGGUCACACCCAGCCCUGGGUCACUGGGCUGCUGCUCUCUUGGCCAGCGUUUGCUCCCUGGCCUUCGUGGGUUCCCACGGGGCUCUUUUCCAGGUCUGGGGCCCUUGGGGAGCAGCUUGUAAACUGAGCCCCCCCCCCCCCCCCGCAGGGCCAGCCUGGCCUCCCCAACCCAGCCUGCAUUUGUUUUCCUCUUGGCAAACAAUGAAGGGCCACACCCAGGCUCUGCCCAUCGCCAGGCAGGUGGCCUGGAGGGCCCAGUCUGCUGCAGCUGCACCUGGAGGUGGCCGUUCCCUCGCCGGUCAGAGAGCAUGAGCCGGGGCCUUCUUCAGGGGCACCACAGCCUGGCACAGGUGCAGAGCUUGCAGCAGCCAGCCUGCAGCCACCCCUCCGGACCAGAUGAGAACUGUGCUGGUGGUAGUAAGAAGGAAAGGAGAGCCCCACUGCGCAGAGGCCCUAGGCUGGAGGCCACUGUGAGGCCGGACACGCUGGGCACAGGGAGCAUCCAGGACCCCUGGCGCACCCACCUGGCCAUCCACCGUCUACGUCACUCCACCUGCUGGAAGACGCUGCCUCUUCCCACGGCUAGGCAGCCUGCCUCGGACCCAUGGGUGCCCUUGGAGGAAGGUGCCAAUGGGCGGGUCCCUCCCAAUCAGGACCCCCAGAAAGAGCCUCCUCAGCUGGUUACCCCAGCCCCUGGGGGUGCUCCUCAGGGCAUGAAGAGCCCUGCUGGUCCCGGGGGGGCGAGCCACUACCCUUUUCCAAAGAGAAAAGGCCCUCACAUCUCUGAAGCUGCCAGAAGACUGGGCCUCUACAGACCUACCUGAAGCCCUCCAGCAGAGGGAAAAGAGAAGCCCAUAGCCCCCAAGUUGUCAGGGCCGUAGACACCGAUGGUGCGGCAGAGGCCUCUCUGGUCCAGCCUCUGCGGGACCAAGGAUCCCUUCCCGGGUAAGGGGAGCUCAGUACCCCUGAGGCAGCCCUGGCCAGCUCGGCCUGCUCUUCUUCCACCGGGCUUGAAUCUCUUCUAGCCAGGGUGUAGGAGGAGAUUGGCUGGCCCAAGGCCAAGAGCAGGAAGAGGUCUCUGUGGGAGUCCCCCGGGGGCCUUUCCAGGUAGUUCUAGAGCAGAGAACCCCGGGGGCACAGGAGCUCAGUCGAGGGGGUCUGGGGAACAUUGGUGGCAAAUAACAACCGUGUCCUAUUGAAAUAUCCCCAAAGCUGCGCACCAAAUAAAGUUUUCUCUCUGAAAAAA